rnacentral:rRNA from 1 species
GUGGGGAAUAUUGCACAAUGGGCGAAAGCCUGAUGCAGCAACGCCGCGUGAGCGAUGAAGGCCUUCGGGUCGUAAAGCUCUGUCCUCAAGGAAGAUAAUGACGGUACUUGAGGAGGAAGCCCCGGCUAACUACGUGCCAGCAGCCGCGGUAAUACGUAGGGGGCUAGCGUUAUCCGGAUUUACUGGGCGUAAAGGGUGCGUAGGUGGUUUCUUAAGUCAGGAGUGAAAGGCUACGGCUCAACCGUAGUAAGCUCUUGAAACUGGGAAACUUGAGUGCAGGAGAGGAAAGUGGAAUUCCUAGUGUAGCGGUGAAAUGCGUAGAUAUUAGGAGGAACACCAGUAGCGAAGGCGGCUUUCUGGACUGUAACUGACACUGAGGCACGAAAGCGUGGGGAGCAAACAGGAUUAGAAACCCUAGUAGUCCC